AAGUACUUAGUCUAAAAAGACCAUUGAUUUCGAUUCAAUAAAUUUUGGUUUAACCCAAAAGUACUUU
rnacentral:tRNA from 1 species